GGGGUCUUAAUUUAAAUAAUAAAAUAUAUGGUUUGCAUUCAUAAAAUUAUGACUCUAA
rnacentral:tRNA from 1 species